rnacentral:rRNA from 1 species
AUGUGUGAUAAAUGUGAACGCUGGAAGCAUCAAAUUUGUGCCCUUUUUAAUUUCAAAAGGGGUGAUUCUAAAGAAGCAAAAUGUACUUGCCCUAAAGUGUUGUUCUUGGGGCUAAAGAUCUGCCAAGGGCCGUGCUUAGCAAUCAUAUACAAGAACAACUCUUUAAACCGUUCAGGGAAGAGAGACACUAACAGGCCAUUCAUAAUGGGAAAAGCUUUGAUGAGGUUAGCGUUGCCUCAUCAAAUUCACAGAAUCUUACUUCUUUCCUGA